rnacentral:lncRNA from 1 species
GAUCAUUACCUUUUUAUUGAUUGAAGCCUUUGACAAAGUUUAUAAUCAAUCGAACUAUUGGAUUUGCGUUUGAUUUUAUAAAUCCAUCAGCAGCCUAUAAUGUGUUGAUGUGGUGAAGAGGAAAUUAAUUCCUAAAUGCUAUUAGAAAUUAAAUCAUUAUAUUUUAUACCCAUAGUUUGACACCAAGUGGCAUCUGUGUAAGCCUGUGUAUAACAAUUGGGCUC